rnacentral:rRNA from 1 species
ACGGCGACGGCGGGAGGCCGCACGCAUCGUACAGGGAGGCCAGAAGGCGACGGCGCAAGAUGGCGGCACGCACCGGACGGGGAGGCUGGAAGGCGACGGCACGCGGAGGCCGCACGCACCCGACGGCGACGGCGGAGGUCGAUUUGGAUUAUCCGCUGGUUAACCAGCUUCAUCUACCUGGUGUAUAUAUGGUUUCUGCUGCUAUUGUUAAAUCUUAAAGAAACAUCUGUUCCUGGUUCAGGUGUUUACAAGUUCCCUUUGUUCAAACAUGGAAAUGAUUUAUUUGCAAACUUCAAUGCAAAAUGUGCCGCAUCCAGAUUAUUGGUAUCUUCUCUUUUUCUUUUCUUGGGAGAGGUUUCUUCUAUGCUUGUUCCGACCAUUAGAAUUUUCAAAGACCAGCGCCGCAAGAACAUGUCACUGGAGGCUCAAGAUACAAGGCAUAGCUGGAAGAGACAUCUUCCCAAGGGUUGGUUAUCCAAUUCUAAAAGAGGAGCUUGCUAUGGCCAUCCAGGGUCCAGGGCGAUUACAUACGCGGCGAAUGCAGAUGCAUAUGAUAAGCUCCAUGCCGACAUGACAAACAAGCACCAGUUGGGAGCCCAGAUGAAGAAGGCUGCCGAUGGGAGAAAAAGGAGAAGCGAUGAGAUGUUUAUGGCAGCUUAUGGAUGA